UACGGAGGGGGCAAGCGUUGUUCGGAGUCACUGGGCGUAAAGGGCGCGUAGGCGGUGCAUAAAGUCAGGCGUGAAAGCCCCGGGCUUAACCUGGGAAUUGCGCUUGAUACUGAUGCGCUUGAGAACGGGAGAGGAUGGCGGAAUUCCCAGUGUAGAGGUGAAAUUCGUAGAUAUUGGGAAGAACACCGGUGGCGAAGGCGGCCAUCUGGACCGUUUCUGACGCUGAGGCGCGAAAGCGUGGGGAGCAAACAGG
rnacentral:rRNA from 1 species